rnacentral:rRNA from 1 species
UAGGGAAUAUUAGAAAUGGACGAAAGUCUGAUCUAGCAACACCGCGUGUGCGAAGAAGGCCUUUGAGUCGUAAAGCACUUUUUGGAAGGAAUAGGAAGGAAUGUACUUCCAGAAUAAGUCUCGGCUAACUACGUGCCAGCAGCCGCGGUAACACGUAGGAGGCAAACGUUAUCCGGAUUUACUGGGCGUAAAGCGCGUGUAGGUGGUACUGUAAGUAGGGCGUGAAAGCUCCUGGCUCAACUGGGAGAGGCCGUUCUAAACUACAGAACUAGAGGAUGGUAGAGGGAGGUGGAAUUCCAGGUGUAGCGGUGGAAUGCGCAGAUAUCUGGAGGAACACCGGUGGCGAAGGCGGCCUCCUGGACCAUUCCUGACACUCAGACGCGAAAGCUAGGGUAGCAAACGGG